rnacentral:rRNA from 1 species
UUACGAGAAAAGGCACGGGCUUACUUCGUGCCAGCAACCCGGUUAUACGUAGGUGGCCAAACUUUUACGGAAUUUUUGGGGCGUAAACGCGCGCCAGGUGGUUUGGUCAGUCUGAUGUGGAAUUCCCGGGCUCACCCUGGAGGGUCAUUGGAAACUGGGCAGCUUGGAUUCAGAUAGAGGAAGGUAAAUUCCCUGGGUACCGGGAAAAUCGUUGGAAAUUGGAGGGACUCCAGUGGGGGAGGACGCUCUCUGGUCCGUAACCUGCCCUUCAGCUCGAAAACCGGGGGAACCAACCGGAAUUAAUUACCUGGUUAUUCCCCCCCUUAACCAUUAGUGAUUAGUAGUUGAGGGCCUUCAGCCGUUAGUGCCGGAGCUAACGCAUUAAGCCCUCCGCCUGGGGAGUACGGCCGCAAGGUUAAAACUCAAAGGAAUUGACGGGGGCCCGCACAAGCGGUGGAGCAUGUGGUUUAAUUCGAAGCAACGCGAAGAACCUUACCUGGUCUUGACAUCCUCAGAACUUCCAGAGAUAGGAGUUGUCCUUCGGGAGCAGAAGACAGGUGGGCAUGCUGCGUCAGCUCGUGUCGUGAAAUGUGGGUUAAGUCCGCAAGAGCGCACCCUAUAUCUUAGUUCCAUCAUUAGUUGGGCACUUCAAGGAGCUGCCCAGUGCUAACCGGAGGAAGGGGGGGGAGACGUCAAAUCAUCCAUGCCCCUACGCCUGGGUUUCCACCCGUGUUCAAAGGGCGCAUCAAAAGAGAACAAACCUCCGAAGAGGAAGUAAUCUUCUUAAAGCGUUUUCUAUUCCGAUUGUAAGUUUCCA